CAGCCCCACAAUGUUGUAUGGCACAACUUUCAGUUCAGUAUGUUCAUGUUAUAACAAAGUCAGCUUCCAUCCGAUGGGCCAGACUCGCCCAGCAGUGAAGUCUCAGCAGACUCCUGCCCCCAUGCCUGGCCACAGAGCAUAUAUGCAGAAUUAUAUGAUGGGGCUGCCUAGAAACUGGGGAGAUUUUAUUGAGUCUCUACACUGUGAAAUGACUGUGUUGGCAGAAAACACUAGAGUCUACCUUUCCUAUCACCCAGAAAUGGAGGCAGAAGAACAGGUUUCUGGAUAUCCAGUCUGCCCAGACUUCAAGUUUUUAUGGUGCUUCAGCAGUGCUAGGGUGUACUUUCGUACAUGAUGACAAGACCUACUUCAUAUUCAAAGCAGUAAAUGAGUUCAGCAUGUGACAAGAAGAUAAGUACCCCCACAUAGUUUGCUUCCAAGUGGAUCAGUUCUUCAGUGUAUAUUAAGCUCUUCCAGAUUUAUUCCUAGUUGUUGGCUGUUUGCCAGGGUUGAAUUUUGUUUGGUUGUACAGUACAUUGAAUGGUCCCAGGUGCUGGAAUAUUAAUGUUAUGCCCAGUUCUUAUUUACAGUUUUUCUUAGGUUGCUAUGAACUGUCAAGAGUUGUAGCAUGCUUAUUUUGUAACAGUUAAAAAUAUGGAUGUAUUGUUAAAACGUUUUUGUCUAUAUUGAGAGAGAAAUAAUUGGAUUCUCAUCAUAGAAUACACCGAUGAAAGGUUGUUUACAUGGUUUAAGUUCAGAUUUCUCCAUGACGUAUAGCAGUAUUAAGAUGAGGCCUAGUUUGCAGAGAUACUUAUAAAGAUUAUAAAAUUCCUUAUACUGGACUUCACUGUUCCUUUGCUGCAGUCGUUUCAAUGUAUAUUUGUAUGUAAAUUGUGAACAUAUUAAGGCAAGGUUUAAAAUCUUAAGAUUUUUAUAUGGAUG